GACAGCCUGCCAUAGUGGUUAGAGUGUUGGACUAUGACUCUGGAGACCUGGGUUCAAUUCCCAGCUCAGCCA